UGGGGAAUAUUGCACAAUGGAGGGAACUCUGAUGCAGCGACGCCGCGUGAACGAAGAAGGCUUUCGAGUCGUAAAGUUCUUUUAUAUGGGAAGAUAAUGACGGUACCAUAAGAAGAAGCCCCGGCUAACUUCGUGCCAGCAGCCGCGGUAAUACGAAGGGGGCUAGCGUUGUUCGGAUUUACUGGGUGUAAAGCGCACGUAGGCGGACUUUUAAGUCAGGGGUGAAAUCCCGGGGCUCAACCCCGGAACUGCCUUUGAUACUGGAAGUCUUGAGUAUGGUAGAGGUGAGUGGAAUUCCGAGUGUAGAGGUGAAAUUCGUAGAUAUUCGGAGGAACACCAGUGGCGAAGGCGGCUCACUGGACCAUUACUGACGCUGAGGUGCGAAAGCGUGGGGAGCAAACAGG
rnacentral:rRNA from 1 species